rnacentral:precursor_RNA from 1 species
AGGGCCAGCUCUGCACCCCAGCUUAAGGUGUAACUGGGUUGAAUGGCUGGUUCUGA